UGUGCACGCUGUUUGCACACGCGCAAACGCACGCACGCGUACAGGUCAUUACUUGUGUUUGCGUGUGUGUAAGUGUGUGAUAAAAGAUGUGGGGUGUUGUCAGAGUCACAGAGGGGUGUGAAUGUCUACACUUCAGGAGGUAAGAAAAGAGGCAUGUGUGCGUGUGUGAGAGUCAGAAUAAGACAGCAUUGUUUCAUCUCGUUGCCUCCUGCCGGGAAUACAUGUUUGCAUCUGAUGUGUGUUGCUGUUUGUGAGUUUUGUUUGCGUAGGUAUGCGUGUGUGUGUGUGUGUGUGUACGUGCAGCUGCUAGGCCAAACAGGUUGAUAGCAAAGAGGGGGUGACGAGAUAACUGUGACUCAAGUGAUGCUGCCACGUGCGGACGCCCGGCUGUUCGUGCAUUUUUCAGGGCGUGUUUUAACUCAGAUAGAAGAAGAAAAGUUAACCGGUGCGUAUUGCUGUGCUGCCGUUUCAGCACACCCGAGCACAAAAUCAGAAGUUCAUACAAGACAUUCACUCUCAAUUUCCCCAGCUUCUUUCCACUAUUUAGGCAAUUCACAUGGUUACCAUGAAAUGUAGGCACACAGCGACACAUCUCACCGUAGCGCUCUGACACAUUUUGAUGUGCUUGGGUUCAUGAGACUGUCUCUUAUUAACGCCACUCCCUGUCAAACAUUUAAAUUCUCAGCUCUGUAGAUCUGAUUUAAGACUAAAAACAAUGCUUGUUUUUUCUAGAUUUCACCAGGGCAAACAAUAUGUAAAAAUCUAAUAAUUUCACUUCAUCAGCAUUCAGACUCUCUGCAAUGCUGUAAAAAUGUUGCGUCAAGCUAACCGUUAGCCGCUAUCUAUCCCAAAGUUAGCAUCUACUUUGGUAAUGUAACGUCUAUUGCAUGUAAUGACGUGCUUCAUAAUUUGUGACUGUAUGAUGUUUUAAUGAUGUAAAGCACUUUGAACUGCCUGGUUGCUGAAAUGUGCUACGCAAAUAAACUUGAGAGAGGUCGAUAAUCAAGUUUACUCUGCAAAGAGUAAAACAGUUUUCUCUUUAAAAGUAAACUAUUUUCUAUGGAGGCAUGUCUUCUGUUUAUUUGGGCUGUCACAACAAAGCAUUAAACAAUCAAAACUUGUUUCUUCACGAGCUAUGUCAAAACAAUUGGUAAUGUAGUUUAGUAAAUAUGACACACUACAAUGUAACCUGUGCAAUAUCAGAGGCGGUAAUGAUUUAUAUGUUGGUAGAGCAGGUUUGGAGAGGCGAGCACGCCAGACUGCCAGCACACAACAUGUGUAUAAAUUGCUUCUCUCCUUUAUAUCCCACAGCAACAGCAGUUUGUGUCAGAAAAGGACGCUGUGAUAUUGAACCGAAGCCGCUUACCUGACCACAGUACCAUCCUGGCAAGCCCAAACUACAGCCCAUUUAAACCUGCUUGCUGUUUUAAACUGAACACAGAAAACUCUGCUACAAACUUCAAUUAAUCUGCAUGCGGAGCAAAGCUUAUUAAAUUGCGUUGACCUGGUUUUCUUCCGUCCACGUAAAUGAGGCACCUCUUGCUGUUAAUGAGCAAGGUCUUAGCAAAGACACUAACAUUCAUUACAUUUAUUACACACCAUGUGAUACUUGCUGUAAUCAACAGAGCCAACGAUUACAGCAAAAACAAAAACAGAAGGACACGUAAAAAACGGCGAGAGGCUUCCACACAGCUGUUGGUGCCCGAUGGAGACCUUAAUGUCUGACCUCUUGCGGGAUGCAGUGCUUAAGUUGAAGGAGAGGGUCCUCUUAAUAAAUGAUCUCACUGUGUUCUGUCUGUACACUGAAAACUAAAAGGUUUCAUGACCUGGGGGCAAAGCAGACCUAUUGAAAAGGCACAGAGAAAGGUCAUAAAUUCAUAGAUAUCAGCAGUGGGAGAGCUGUAGCUUCCCCGCUUCCCGGACUGUCCGUGUGUAUUUCCGAGGUGUUUUGAAGGUCAGUGCAAAAGGCUCAGCAUGCCUGGCUGAUCCAUCCAGUGGACUACCAGUUCCCAAGCUGCUGCCCUUUGAAGCGGUCAGAAGAUUCAGGUAGGAUUUCCACUCCAGCAGAAGUGUUGCAUUGUCUGCUCCAUUUCAGCUUAUUUUCAGAUAUCAGACUCUUUUCCAGCACCUAGAUGUCUUAAAGAUCUUAAACACUCCUGCUGGUUUUUGAAGCUUCUGCAGCAUCAUUUUUAAACAGUAGCAGACUAGAAACACCCCACAGGUCCUGUGUUUCAUCAGGCUUCUGAAGACUGAUCACGAAUGCCUAGACAAAUCUCUCAUUCAGAGCUUUCUGGGUAUUUAAUCAGCUCAACAACAACAACAAAGAAAAAACUCACAGAAAGUUACCAACCUUGGUAUAGUUGUUUUUUUUCCUCACUUCUUUGAUUAGAUCUAAUUUCUUUUUAAACCUUAGCUUUGAUUUCACAUCCCUUUCUGCCUUACUAGGAAAGUGACAUAAAUGCCGAACUGUGGACCCGGCAACGCACAUCAAAAUGUUUAAAAGCGUACCUUUUCUGUGUAUCUCCAGUGGUCAGUGGGUGAGAUGGAGCCUGUGUCGUUAUGAACACGUCAACAAUGCACCACAGAAACACACCAGCUUGCCAUGUUGCUCUGUGGAAAUGUGAGGCGUGUAACACCGAUUGCUCUCUCACACAUCAAUUGUGUGACUUCACCUCUGUUCUUGAUAUGAAAGGGUCUAAAGAUAAGUCACGGUUAAAAUAUAUCAAUGAAUGGUUUAAGCAAAUUAAAUCAGUUUCCUAUUCCAUCUGUGGAUUUCUUUUAAGUAUCAUUUGAGGGGCGUCGAGCAAAACAAUUCAAUUUUCUCAAGUACUGAAUCUUAUGAACAAAGUUACUCAUGAACUUGGAACUCUUUUGUCUUUGACCCAGCUCCAACACAUGGCUCUCCUUCUCUGAUUGUGACCUUUGACCUCUCUGACAUCAUUUAUCAUUGCACCAAAGCCCCCUGAACGUCCUUUGAAAGGACAUGAACGGACCCCUCCUGCUGCGCAUCUCUUCUCAACCUUUUCAGAUUUGAUCUGGGCUCUCGGUGGUGCAUCGGGGCCAGCCGGUGAAUACAGUAGGACCCUCCGCACGACGAACUCUGAAAGCCUUUAAAUGCACCAACAGAGACAUCAGCGGCCUUUCUGGCAAUGCCUCGGUUGGUGUGCAAUGUCAUAUGAGGCGCCUGCAAUUACAUUUUGGACAAGGAACUCCAAUCGCGCCUCAAGUGGCACCGUGAUGGCCCCUCCGCCAACUUUCCAGUGAUUGUGAGGUCACAUUGCCUGCCUCCAAUAACAUAUAAUCAGCACAUCAGCAGACGAAGGGAGGAGGGAAUGAGCCAUUAGGCUCCAGAAGCCAGCCAGUUCCCCACUGUCUGUCUGCAAGCUUAGAGCUGGCAGGCAGGCCAGCAGGAUAACAGGCUUCCUUUUCCAUCUACUGGAUGGCUGGAUGUUACACUCUGACGGUGGAGGAUGCCAACAAAGUGAGCAUGGAAAAGCCUCCAGGGUCCCAGAAACUAACAGAAGAUGGGAGGGAGAGGCGCGAGGGGGGUUAAAAAGUGGGAAUUGUAAUUUGAAUGCUACUGUUAGUUUCCUUUGUUUUGUCUGGAAUGAUUUGCUGCAUGCGCCAACAACGCAAAGGAAGGCUCGUCUUCAAGGAGGUGAUGACUCGCGUCACGCAACUGAGCUCCACAAAUCACUCAAAGAUUCAAAGAUGGGCUGACAGCUCGGCUCCACGCUUCCAAAACAACAUCAUCAUUUGUUUUAACACCUUGGCAAGAAGAAGAAAAAAAAAAAGACAAGACCACACUAUUUUACAAGGACAUUUUGUUUCACUUUUGCCACAUGGUACUUAGCUUAUUGUUAGGUCUGAUGGGACAGGUGAAAGAUUCAGAAGCAGUGACAAUCAAAAACAAUAUACUUUUUUUUUUUUUUUUGCAAUGAAAACUGCAGAAUUUUUAAAGCAGAACUGAAAUAUUUGGCCUGGUGACAAAUAAGAUUCUAUGUUUUCAUUUUUUUCGAAUGAAAAAUAUAAAAUUAAAUUGUGUUGACAUUGAUAAAACUUUUUUUCAAAAGAUUAAGAUGGUGUCAGAGUUUCUCAGUGUUGACAUUAUUAAAAAAUGCAAGCAAGAGAAAAUGUAGAUUCUGUGGACAUUGCCUGCGUCCAGUCAUGUCCUUUAAGUACAGGAGCUGGUUUUGAAUAGCUACUGGUUUAAAUGGUGCAUGCGUAUUGGGAUCAAAGGUGUGGGAGUCACUAGACUUUACAGUAACAGUACAUAGUUCAGUGAUGUUGUUUUUUUUUUUUGCAAUGAUGCCAUUAUCUUGUUAAAUUGUUCUAUUCAUAUAUUGACCAAUUAGCAAAUGAGAAACACAUUUCAGUGCCUGAAUAGUGCCCCCUACUGGUAAGACAAUAACUACUGAAAUUGAUCAAGUAAUAUCUCUUGUUACAAAUUUCAAAUUCAAUUUUAGUCAUCUGACUACUGAGAUAACUGAAUUUUGAUCAACCUACACAGGGUGUUUGCAUAAUACUACAUGAAAUUAAGCAAAUGCUGCAGCAUUCGCCCCACAUCUGCACUUUGCAUAUGAGAGCUUGUGCCUAACCUGAAGACUUAUUCAAAAUGUCCAAAAAAAUCUGCAACAGGCUGAUUUGACAGAUCCUCAAAUUAUGCAUGUGUUAACACCUCUCUAUCUAAAUGUGUGUAUCAUCAGAAAAACAUAUUUUGCUGAGAACUCUUAGUGAUUUUCAAAACAUUAGUAAAUGUGUCCUGACAAUUAUACUUAGAGAUAUAUUUAAUUCUACAUAUAUCAGUAAGCCAGACAGACAGACACACCUGAGGCUUUUGGACUCGGUCAGGUUCUGGUUUGGGGCCUGGCUGGACCCAAUGGCUGCAAGGUGACAGAAUUUACCUCUUCAGCGUCUCUGUGGUGGUGAACCAGUCAGCGAUCCAACUGGCACAGAGGCGCCGAGCAGCACAGAAAGCAGAAGUUUGGAGCUGAAGUGACUGCAGAGCAGUGCUACAAAAGGCCAAAGUGUGGGCGAAUGAGUGGCACUCUGCAUUCUGGCAGUAAACCCGACUGUUUGUGUUUAUAGGGCUGUGGGCCGCUCUGGGCCAAACAGGGAAGCACAACAAAGCAUUUAUAUGGUGCCAAAAUCCCGGGUGGCAUUUGGACUUUUUUUUUGUUUUGUUUGUUUGCAAUAGACUGUCGUUGAAAUAGGUUGAAUAAAUCGCCACAGAAUACUUAAUAUUAAAACAUUAUGGACCGUUCAUGCUCUGGAGUCCACUAUUACUGCAGUAAACAAACAGUGAUGGAUGCAUUAAAGAAUUUACUUUCAGCCUCCGAGUGUCACAUUUCGCUUUUUUAGUUUUAAUAUAGUUUCAUCCAGAAUAAUUUGCAUCUUUCCAGAAUGACAGCCAGUUGACCUUUAGAGUUUGAUAAAUGUCAAGCCAC